CCCUCUGCCCUGCCCUGCCCUGCCCUGCCCUGCCCGCGGGCGGGGGAUCAACUUCACCACUCGCCCAGGGUCAGGCGGAGAGCUGUAGUUCAGGAAGGGCGGAAGUGACGUUUCCUGUUGGGCGUUUCCAUACGACGAGAGGCGGAAGUGAUCUGCCGGGAGGAGCAGUUCGCUCAAACGCGCGGCUUCCCAUUGGCCGGGAAAGAGGAAUCAUCUAGAGGCCCUGACUGGAGGAGAAACGGGUAGUGUGGAGCUGAGGAGCCGUGAUGUAGUUCUGAGGAGAUACGAAUGGUCCUCUGCUCUCUGCCUUCCGUCUCUCCGCUUGCGAUAGUGAGGAACAAGGAAGUCAGCUGUCAGAAUCUCCUUCCCUUCUGCAAUGGAAAGCAAUCGUGAUGAGCGAGUCCAUGAGCAUGAUCAAUGUGAGGCAUGAACCGUCCAGCCAGAUGAGGAGCAGUUGCUGUCAUCACUGAGAUAUGCAUUUGGUUUGCUGAAGGCUCCGCUCCUGGCCUACCUAGGUCUCAGUAGGGACAGACAUUUAGCCAGGGCUGGCUUUGAAAGGAGAGAGACAAGGUCCCCAUUUUCAGUGGUGGCUUAUUUCUCUGGACACAACUGGAGUGUCCUCCACAGCAGAGAAUUGGAGGCAAGCAGAUGACUUCAGGUGGGGAAUCAUGCAGAGGCCCAGGUCAGAGGAGCACUAGGCAGCGGAGGACAUGAGUAGCCUUGAACCCUUCAGACAACAUAAACGAUACUCUGCUUUCUGCCUUCCACACACCUGGCUCUGAAGUUUAGUAGCAAAUGAAAAGAAGUCCACCAACAAUCUCUUGUCAUGCAAUGGAAAUGGAGCGAAAGCAGUGACUACAUGAGGAUAUUCAAUAGGAAUCAUCCGGGAGCCCAGAGGAGAAGCUGGCAGAAGGGGACCCAAGCAGCCUGGAUAUCCUUCUAAAGAGACAUGCACAGUCCUCAGUUUUCUGCCUUCUUCAUAACUGGCUGCCUGUGGAAUCGAGCCUAGAGAAGGGACAAUAGUCUGCUCUGCAGAAUGACUUUUUGAACAUGUGUUCCAUGGAGUCCUUUCUAACUGUAGUCCUACAGCAGUAAUGGGAGGAGGUGGCAGUGCCCUGGAACGUGGUAGAUGCGGGAAGAGGAGGUUACGUGACACUGCCAACUGAGAUGAUUACUGGUUUUUAUUUAUUUAUUUAUUUAUGUUUGCUUGUGCUGGGUUUAGUAGUAAGGGAAAGAAGUCAACUGUCAGAGUCUACUCCAUCAUAGGAUGGAAUAUAAGCAAGAGCAGUGAGUCCAUGUGCAUUAUCGAUGCAAGACAAGAACUAUCCAGCUGGGACUGGAAAGCAGGGCUGCCCCUAGCGAUGGCACAAAAGGAAGGGUGGCAGGAGCAGACUCUACUACCCUUCCUUCUGUGCUG